UGAACACCUUGAGGCCUUUUAAAGGAGGAUUGCUACAGAGGCUUUGUGGUGGCACUGCCAAUAGGGUCAGUACCUGCUGAAGGUUGCUCAAAGCUGUGAUAGGAAAGCAGCUGGACAACAUCUACCUGCUACAAAAGUAGUGGAUCCCUGCCCUCAAAAAGGCUCCUUCAGAUCAAUCACAUUAAUAGAGGCAUUUAGACUGUCUCUACAACACUAGCUGGCACCUCAUGUAUUGUCUGGUGUAUGACUGAUGAAGGGAAAUAGUUCCUCCUUAUAUUAUUCACAAAUAAAUAAAAUGAUAUGCAACACAAAAUCACAAAUGUCACGUCUAAACAUCCCCUCAUUACUACUUCUGCAUUACCUGCUCCCAGAGCGUGCAAUGUUGGGAAUGGAAGAGAGCUUAACGGAGCUGCGAGGGAGCUGCAGGACACGGGCCGAGGACAAGUUGCCGAGCCCAGGUGUGCUGGGCUGCACUGCAUCUCACUCCUCUCUGAUUCUUCAUUAACAGCCGCGGCCGAGCCGGGCAGCCUCAGCCCUCGCCCGGCGAUUUCCCAAGAG